UGCAGGGAUGGCGGCCAGGCGCGAGCUAGCGGCGCGCGCGUUGAGCUUGGCGUAGAGCACGUCGUCCAGAUCCCAGGCCAGUAGACGCCGCAACAGUACUAGCGACUCAUCGAAGUACUCGGCGAUCAUCACGAGUGAGAAGACCUCCUCCACCUGGCGGAUGAGACCCUCCAGGACAGCGGACAUGUCCCGGAAUAGCCCAGCCAGAGCUUCACCAAUGGAAUAGAGGCGUCAUGAAGACGCUAAAAUGAGCCUUUUAAUCACCGCUAGCCUCCUGAGCAUCCCUGUAUGGGAGAUACCACGUGGGAACAGCCUCUAGUUAAAGUGUGAGUAGGUUCCAUUAACCUCCUGCAAGAACUGAAGACUGCCAGAAACAUGACUGAGGUUGGAAGGGAAACUCAGUCCAGACUUACACUGUGGGGGCUGGGGUUUUAACUCAGUGGUGCAGCGUCUACUUGGAAGCAUGAAGUCAAGUCCGAUUCCUGGCAGACUGCAAGAGCAAGACCCUGAACCAGAGCUACCUAGGAAACUACUCCUGGAUUCCUGACCCACAGAAUCUGAGAGAAAAUAAAUACUUCUUGUAUUCA